UACAGAGGUGCCGAGCGUUAGGCGGAAUCACUGGGCUUAAAGCGCGUGUAGGCGGGUCGUUAAGUGUCCGCGUGAAAUCCCACGGCUCAACCGUGGAACGGCCGGGCAGACUGGCGACCUUGAGGCAUUCAGGGGCGAGCGGAACGAACGGUGGAGCGGUGAAAUGCGUAGAUAUCGUUCGGAACGCCGACGGUGAAAACAGCUCGCUGGGAAUGUCCUGACGCUGAGACGCGAAAGCCAGGGGAGCGAACGGG
rnacentral:rRNA from 1 species